CAUUCGGGGUAAGCGAGCGCAGUGGGUAAGUGAGCGCAAUGCUUAUAACCCCCGAACAGAGAGCGGGGGAUGCGUCGUUUGUUCGGACAAAUCAGGGACCGCCCGCGUGCCGGCUAGUCGCGACGAGUCACUGGAGCGUGCGGCGGACGAACAAAUUAUUUUUCGUAUAAAUAAAUAUUUGUUGUAAGCUUUUGCAGUUUUUUACCUGACGGAAAACAGUGUGGUAUCCACAUUAUUGGAUUCAAAACGGACCUCCUACAACGCCUCGAAAUUAUAAACGAAAAAAUCCUGAUCUUAUGCCAGUAACCGAAGAGCAAAUCACAAGCACUGCAUACGAAAGAGGAGUGUUUGUCUGCGAUAAUUGUGCUGAUAUUUCUUAAAAGAACAUGUUUAAGAUUUUAAUAGACAUUAUUGUUAAAAUAUAGAUGAUGAUUC